rnacentral:rRNA from 1 species
AUUUAAAGUCAUAUCACCCUGCAGCCCAAGCUCUGAAGCUAAGCAGGUCUGAGCCUUGCCAGUACCUGAAUGGAAGACCACAUGGGAAAACUAGGUUGCUGUUGGAA